UUAACUAUUAUAUAGUACUCAGACGACACUAAUAUUCAGAGCUUGGGGUCCUCUGGCAGGCACGCACCAGCGAAAGCCGAUGGUUAGACCGAGGUUUAACGGCCUGCCAAAGCAACAAAGGUAUAAAUACACAGGGUGGGAGAUCUACCCCGAAGGGCAAGAACUCUGUAAUGAUCCCUCCGCAGGUUCACCUACGGAGA
rnacentral:misc_RNA from 1 species